rnacentral:rRNA from 1 species
AUUGAACGCUGGCGGCAGGCUUAACACAUGCAAGUCGAGCGGAGCGAGGGUGCUUGCACCUUAGCUUAGCGGCGGACGGGUGAGUAAAGCUUAGGAAUCUGCCUAUUAGUGGGGGACAACAUUCCGAAAGGGAUGCUAAUACCGCAUACGCCCUACGGGGGAAAGCUGGGGAUCUUCGGACCUUGCGCUAAUAGAUGAGCCUAAGUCGGAUUAGCUAGUUGGUGGGGUAAAGGCCUACCAAGGCGACGAUCUGUAGCGGGUCUGAGAGGAGGAUCCGCCACACGGGGACUGAGAAACGGCCCCGGAUCCUACGGGAGGCAGCAGUGGGGAAUAUUGGACAAUGGGGGGAACCCUGAUCCAGCCAUGCCGCGUGUGUGAAGAAGGCCUUUUGGUUGUAAAGCACUUUAAGCGAGGAGGAGGCGCUCUAGGAUAAUACCCUAGAUGCGUGGACGUUACUCGCAGAAUAAGCACCGGCUAACUCUGUGCCAGCAGCCGCCGUAAUAC